UACAGAGGUCCCAAGCGUUGUUCGGAUUCAUUGGGCGUAAAGGGUGCGUAGGCGGCGCGGUAAGUCGGGUGUGAAAUCUCGGAGCUUAACUCCGAAACUGCAUUCGAUACUGCCGUGCUUGAGGACUGGAGAGGAGACUGGAAUUUACGGUGUAGCGGUGAAAUGCGUAGAUAUCGUAAGGAAGACCAGUGGCGAAGGCGGGUCUCUGGACAGAUACUGACGCUGAGACACGAAAGCGUGGGGAGCAAACAGG
rnacentral:rRNA from 1 species